rnacentral:rRNA from 1 species
GACGAACGCUGGCGGCGUGCUUAACACAUGCAAGUCGAACGAUGAAGCCGGAGCUUGCUCCGGUGGAUUAGUGGCGAACGGGUGAGUAACACGUGAGCAAUCUGCCCUUGACUCUGGGAUAACUGCGGGAAACUGUAGCUAAUACCGGAUACGACACCUUGGGGCAUCCCAGGGUGUGGAAAGAAUUUCGGUCAAGGAUGAGCUCGCGGCCUAUCAGCUAGUUGGUGAGGUAAUGGCUCACCAAGGCGACGACGGGUAGCCGGCCUGAGAGGGUGACCGGCCACACUGGAACAGAGACACGGUCCAGACUCCUACGGGAGGCAGCAGUGGGGAAUAUUGCACAAUGGGCGAAAGCCUGAUGCAGCAACGCCGCGUGAGGGAUGAAGGCCUUCGGGUUGCAAACCUCUUUUAGCAGGGAAGAAGCGAAAGUGACGGUACCUGCAGAAAAAGCACCGGCUAACUACGUGCCAGCAGCCGCCGUAA